UACGAAGGGGGCUAGCGUUGUCCGGAAUCAUUGGGCGUAAAGCGCGUGUAGGCGGUCCGGUAAGUCCGCUGUGAAAGUCGGGGGCUCAACCCUCGGAUGCCGGUGGAUACUGUCGGGCUUGAGUACGGAAGAGGCGAGUGGAAUUCCUGGUGUAGCGGUGAAAUGCGCAGAUAUCAGGAGGAACACCAAUUGCGAAGGCAGCUCGCUGGGACGUGACUGACGCUGAGACGCGAAGGCGUGGGGAGCGAACGGG
rnacentral:rRNA from 1 species